rnacentral:rRNA from 1 species
UUGUUUGACACCGCAUGGUUCAAACAUAAAAGGUGGCUUCGGCUACCACUUACAGAUGGACCCGCGGCGCAUUAGCUAGUUGGUGAGUGUAACGGCUCACCAAGGCAACGAUGCUGUAGCCGACCUGAGAGGGUGAUCGGCCACACUGGGACUGAGACACGGCCCAGACUCCUACGGGAGGCAGCAGUAGGGAAUCUUCCGCAAUGGACGAAAGUCUGACGGAGCAACGCCGCGUGACGUGAUGAAGGUUUUCGGAUCGUAAAGCUCUGUUGUUAGGGAAGAACAAGUACCGUUCGAAUAGGGCGGUACCUUGACGGUACCUAACCAGAAAGCCACGGCUAACUACGUGCCAGCAGCCGCGGUAAUACGUAGGUGGCAAGCGUUGUCCGGAAUUAUUGGGCGUAAAGGGCUCGCAGGCGGUUUCUUAAGUCUGAUGUGAAAGCCCCCGGCUCAACCGGGGAGGGUCAUUGGAAACUGGGGAACUUGAGUGCAGAAGAGGAGAGUGGAAUUCCACGUGUAGCGGUGAAAUGCGUAGAGAUGUGGAGGAACACCAGUGGCGAAGGCGACUCUACUGGUCUGUAACUGACGCU